CCGGUCAUGAACACCGUAAACCUCCCUAGCACACUGGUUUUAAACACUUUGCCAUACCUGCUAAUAAAGAAGCAUGAAAAAAAUAAAUUCUAAAUAUUCCAGAUGGACUAGAGAAGUCAGACAGGAAGGAGAAACUCUCCCCAACAAUUGGCCAACCCAUGGUUCCAGGUGAUUGAAAAUUUUCCUUGGAUGUCUUUUCUAAUGCCACUUGGGUUGGGACUAAAAGCCAGAGAUCUGUUCCUAGGCAAAGGUCAUGCCAGAGAUUGACAUAUGGAAGAUGCUAAUUACAUCUUUUUAACCGACCUAAUCUUUGUUGUCCCUACUUUAGAAAAAUAAAUAAA